ACGUGCUGGCCCACAGACAAUUUUCAAUUUCUUCAAAAACGAAACUGGCAAGGAGUCAUAGUUUGUGGGUACAUUUGGAUCUUUGGCGGCCACAUGACCCAAACAACUGGAAACCUUUUAAAGUGGCUAAAUGGGGGGGGCACCAACUGUGCUGUCAGUCUGCAGUCUUUCCACUCCAGCUCUUCUGCAGGGCCGAUCACUGAUCAAUCAAUCCUUCGGCCGUAUGAAUCUCUCCCGUCAAAUGGAUUACUGUGCUACCGAGUGACAGAGGAUGUUCAAUGUGCUAGCCUGAUGCUAUAGAGCGUCUAUCAUGUUGUAUUUGUCUACCUUAUUGAGACAGGUAAGAAGUGUAGGAGGGGAGGUAAAGUCAGAAGGGUACACAUGGGGAUUGAACUCCGGUCUCCGGUGGGGAGACACACACAACAUAUUAUGUGACUAGCCAUAGCUUUGGACAUACAGUUGUGAACUGCUAUUUGUGUUUUAUUUCAGCAAUAUCGUCCUCAUUGAUUAUAAUAGGAUGACUGAUGCCAUUGAGAUUAAAAGCAACCCUAGAUUGCAACCCUUAAAAGCAACCCUAGAUUGUAAUGGAGAUGUAUCCCAAGUGUGUGGAAAGCUACCAAUUAACAAUUGAAGUCUUACAGUUCACAUAAUACACUUUUUACACAUUAUUUGCUAAAUAUGAUUGGAAAUGUACAUUAUGUUUAUGGUAGUUUUACCAUACACUUACUGUAAUACAUUUUAGGAUAUAAGGUACUGAACAAAAGGACUCAAGUUUUUGCCCGACUAAAACUGCAUUUUAAACAGAUUCAAUGUAAUGACCUAUUAUAGAGACAAAGGGUUCCUAAACAUCAACAAAUGACGAUAACCACAUAGUCAUUCUCUGUCGAUACUUAUCUGAACACAAAAUUCAUCUUUGUUUUUAUAAUACACACCCGAGCGUCGUAAUUCUCAAGCACAUUGGAUCGACGGGUGAGGUUAGUGCUGUUGUAAGCAAAAAGCCCAAUUAGCCCCAAGUCCCGGGAUUGCACUUGAUCGGAGUGUCUGGAUGUAUUUAUUGAUCGCAAUGUGGUUAUUAGAUUCUGGCAAGGUACCUAUUGAAAUGAUACGGAGGAGCCGAACAGUAGCUUGUUUGUGAACUUUUCAUUGAGAUAAACAGCAUUGCAGUGGGCAUUCAGAAAUCCCUGUUCAUUCACAGUCAGUGGUUGCUUGACUUAUUAGUUGUGUAUAGCUCGACUUUCUCUUCCGGUAUGCCUGUUAUUAGUGUGUAUGCUGAAACCAAGAGCACUAGUGUUAUCCACCAUACUUAUUAGUACUGUAUGCACUACUGUAAUCCGCUUUACUCAAUAAACAUACACAUGUCAUGUU